rnacentral:rRNA from 1 species
GUGCAACGAAUGGAAGUUUGAGGCAAUAACAGGUCUGUGAUGCCCUUAGAUGUUCUGGGCCGCACGCGCGCUACACUGACGAAUGCAACGAGCUUAUAACCUUGGCCGAAAGGUCUGGGUAAUCUCCAAAUUUCGUCGUGAUGGGGAUAGAUUAUUGCAAUUAUUAAUCUUCAACGAGGAAUGCCUAGUAAGCGCAAGUCAUCAGCUUGCGUUGAUUACGUCCCUGCCCUUUGUACACACCGCCCGUCG